GCCGAGGUAGCUCAGUGGUAGAGCACUGCACUGAAAAUGCAGGUGUCGCUGGUUCGAUCCCAGCCCUCGGCACCA
rnacentral:tRNA from 1 species